UUCCGGUUGAUCCUGCCGGAGGCUACCGCUAUUGGAGUUCGAUUAAGCCAUGCGAGUCGCGAGUCUUAGGGACUCGGCGUACCGCUCAGUAACACGUGGGUAACCUGCCCUAUGCUGGGGGAUAACCUCGGGAAACUGAGAAUAAUACCCCAUAGUUCACCACGCCUGGAACGGUGGGUGGAUCAAAGCUCCGGCGGCAUAGGAUGGGCCUGCGGCGUAUCAGGUUGUAGGGGGUGUAAUGUACCCUCUAGCCCUCUACGCGUACGGGUGUUGAGAGACAUCGCCCGGAGAUGGAUUCUGAGACACGAAUCCAGACCCUACGGGGUGCAGCAGGCGCGAAAACUUGGCAAUGCGAGAAAUCGUGACCAGGGAACUCCAAGUGCAUCGGGUAAGACCGAUGCUUUUCUUGACUCUUCAAAGGUCUUGGAAUAAGGGGUGGGUAAGGACGGUGCCAGCCGCCGCGGUAAUACCGGCGCCCCAAGUGGUAGUCGCUUUUAUUGGGCCUAAAACGUCCGUAGCCGGUCUGGUACAUUCGUGGGUAAAUCAACCAGCUCAACUGGUUGAAUUCUGCGAGCACGGCCAGACUUGGGACCGGGAGAGGUGUGGGGUACUCUCAGGGUAGGGGUAAAAUCCUGUCAUCCUGAGAGGACCACCUGUUGCGAAGGCGCCACACUAGAACGGAUCCGACGGUCAGGGACGAAGCCUAGGGGCACGAACCGGAUUAGAUACCCGGGUAGUCCUAGGUGUAAACGCUGUGGACUUGAUGUUGGGGGCGCUCCGAGCGCACUCAGUGUCGAAGCGAAGGUGAUAAGUCCACUGCCUGGGGAGUACGGUCGCAAGGCUGAAACUUAAAGGAAUUGGCGGGGGAGCACCGCAACCUGAGGAUUGUGCGGUUUAAUUGGAUUCAACGCCGGG
rnacentral:rRNA from 1 species